AGCAGUCGCCGCGGUAAUACGUAGGUGGCAAGCGUUGUCCGGAAUUAUUGGGCGUAAAGCACGCGCAGGCGGAUCGGUCAGUCUGUCUUAAAAGUUCGGGGCUUAACCCCGUGAUGGGAUGGAAACUGCCAAUCUAGAGUAUCGGAGAGGAAAGUGGAAUUCCUAGUGUAGCGGUGAAAUGCGUAGAUAUUAGGAAGAACACCAGUGGCGAAGGCGACUUUCUGGACGAAAACUGACGCUGAGGCGCGAAAGCCAGGGGAGCGAACGGGAUUAGAGACCCGCGUAGUCCCUGUCUCUUAUACA
rnacentral:rRNA from 1 species